rnacentral:tRNA from 1 species
GGCCCAGCUCAAGCUGGUUGCGCCGCGCAGACUGUAAAUCUGCCGGCUCAGCCUUCCCAGGUUCGAAUCCUGGCGCCGCCA